UUAUGACUUAUUAUAUAAUAAACGUCUCUUGGUCCAAUCUGUAAAAUACAGCUUUUGAAAGGCCAAGUACGACAGAGCAUACCAUGUCGUAGCAUUUCAAAAGCUGUAUUUUACAGAUUGGACCAAGAGACGUUUCUUUUAUGACUUAUUAUAUAAUCUAUAGCUAGGGUAAAUGAAGUCUAUUUAAAGUA
rnacentral:misc_RNA from 1 species